rnacentral:hammerhead_ribozyme from 1 species
GCACUGCUGAAGAGUCUCAUAGUAGGACGAAACGGCCGUCCGGUGC